CAACCUCAACUCAUAUGGGACUACCCCCUGAAUUUAAGCAUAUUAAUUAGGGGAGGAAAAGAAACUAACAAGGAUUUUCUUAGUAGCGGCGAGCGAAAAGAAAUCAGUUCAGCACUAAGUCACUUUGUCUAUAUGGCAAAUGUGUACGGAACAUCAACAUUCUAGUAUGAGAAGUUAACGAUUUAAGUCCUUCUUAAAUGAGGCCAUUUACCCAUAGAGGGUGCCAGGCCCGUAUAACGUUAAUGAUUACUAGAUGGUGUUUCCAAAGAGUCGUGUUGCUUGAUAGUGCAGCACUAAGUGGGUGGUAAACUCCAUCUAAAACUAAAUAUAACCAUGAGACCGAUAGUAAACAAGUACCGUGAGGGAAAGUUGAAAAGAACUCUGAAUAGAGAGUUAAAUAGUACGUGAAACUGCUUAGAGGUUAAGCCCGAUGAACCUGAAUAUCCGUUAUGGAAAAUUCAUCAUUAGAAUUGUAAUAUUUUAAACAAUAUUAUAAUAAUAGUGUGCAUUUUUUCCAUAUAAAGACAUUGUAAUCUAUUAGCAUAAAUAUUUAUCAUAAAAUUAUGUCUGAUUGCUUAUUUGAAUUAUAUGCUUGGCAUUUUAACAUAAAAUAAAAGAUAUAAAUUUGAUAAAGUGCUGAUAGAUUUAUAUGAUUACAGUGCGUUAAAUUUU
rnacentral:ncRNA from 1 species